AGUGAACGCUGGCGGUAGGCCUAACACAUGCAAGUCGAACGGCAGCACAGUAAGAGCUUGCUCUUACGGGUGGCGAGUGGCGGACGGGUGAGGAAUACAUCGGAAUCUACUUUUUCGUGGGGGAUAACGUAGGGAAACUUACGCUAAUACCGCAUACGACCUACGGGUGAAAGCAGGGGAUCUUCGGACCUUGCGCGAUUGAAUGAGCCGAUGUCGGAUUAGCUAGUUGGCGGGGUAAAGGCCCACCAAGGCGACGAUCCGUAGCUGGUCUGAGAGGAUGAACAGGCCCACCGGAACCGAGAAACGGUCCAGACCCCUAAGGGAGGCAGGCGUGGGGAAUAUUGGACAAUGGGCGCAAGCCUGAUCCAGCCAUACCGCGUGGGUGAAGAAGGCCUUCGGGUUGUAAAGCCCUUUUGUUGGGAAAGAAAAGCAGCAGGUUAAUACCCCGCUGUUCUGACGGUACCCAAAGAAUAAGCACCGGCUAACUUCGUG
rnacentral:rRNA from 1 species